GCCGAAAUUACUCAGUCGGGAGAGCUUUACACUGACGAUCUAGAGGUCCCUGGUUCGAUACCGGGUUUAGGCU